rnacentral:rRNA from 1 species
AACGAACGCUGGCGGCAUGCCUAACACAUGCAAGCCGAACGAGACCUUCGGGUCUAGUGGCGCACGGGUGCGUAACGCGUGGGAACCUGCCUUUAGGUUCGGAAUAACUCAGAGAAAUUUGAGCUAAUACCGGAUGAUGUCUUCGGACCAAAGAUUUAUCGCCUUUAGAUGGGCCCGCGUUGGAUUGGCUAGUUGGUGGGGUAAAGGCCUACCAAGGCGACGAUCCAUAGCUGGUCUGAGAGGAUGAUCAGCCACACUGGGACUGAGACACGGCCCAGACUCCUACGGGAGGCAGCAGUGGGGAAUAUUGGACAAUGGGCGAAAGCCUGAUCCAGCAAUGCCGCGUGAGUGAUGAAGGCCUUAGGGUUGUAAAGCUCUUUUACCCGAGAUGAUAAUGACAGUAUCGGGAGAAUAAGCUCCGGCUAACUCCGUG